GAUGAACGCUAGCUACAGGCUUAACACAUGCAAGUCGAGGGGCAGCACAGUGUAGCAAUACAUGGGUGGCGACCGGCGCACGGGUGCGUAACGCGUAUCCAACCUUCCCGUUACUCUUGGAUAGCCUUCCGAAAGGGAGAUUAAUACAAGAUGGUAUUCAAAUUCCGCAUGUUAUUUGAAUUAAAGAUUUAUCGGUAACGGAUGGGGAUGCGUGACAUUAGGUAGAUGGCGGGGUAACGGCCCACCAUGCCUACGAUGUCUAGGGGUUCUGAGAGGAAGGUCCCCCACACUGGAACUGAGACACGGUCCAGACUCCUACGGGAGGCAGCAGUGAGGAAUAUUGGUCAAUGGUCGGAAGACUGAACCAGCCAAGUAGCGUGAAGGAUGAAGGUUCUAUGGAUUGUAAACUUCUUUUAUACGGGAAUAAAACCUCCCACGUGUGGGAGCUUGUAUGUACCGUAUGAAUAAGCAUCGGCUAACUCCGUG
rnacentral:rRNA from 1 species